GUUGAACGCGGCACGUGAAUAACUACAACCAGUUAGCAAGUCGGACAUUUCUGAGUUUCCUAGUUCCAAUUAGUAUGUGAACAUUUUAUAGUGACACUUUGGUCAUUUUGUACUUACUGAAGAGACAAAUGAACUGUUGUCCAGGGUGUUUUCUCAGUGGUCAUUCACAAUGCACUGAUGCUAUGCACAUAUUUACCAAUGACGGGCAGUAUUUUAUGAACAAUAUUUGUCUCAUCAUGUGCUCUUUAAACACCAUGGGAA